rnacentral:rRNA from 1 species
AACGAACGCUGGCGGCAUGCCUAACACAUGCAAGUCGAACGAGACCUUCGGGUCUAGUGGCGCACGGGUGCGUAACGCGUGGGAACCUGCCCUUAGGUUCGGAAUAACUCCCCGAAAGGGGUGCUAAUACCGGAUCAUGUCUUCGGACCAAAGAUUUAUCGCCUUUGGAUGGGCCCGCGUUGGAUUAGCUAGUUGGUAGGGUAAAAGCCUACCAAGGCGACGAUCCAUAGCUGGUCUGAGAGGAUGAUCAGCCACACUGGGACUGAGACACGGCCCAGACUCCUACGGGAGGCAGCAGUGGGUAAUAUUGGACAAUGGGCGAAAGCCUGAUCCACCAAUGCCGCGUGAGUGAUGAAGGCCUUAGGGUUGUAAAGCUCUUGUACCCGGGAUGAUAAUGACAGUACCGGGAGAAUAAGCUCCGGCUAACUCCGUG